GAAUGUCUGUGGACACUGGCCCGUGACUGCCUUUGCACAAUCCAGGCAGGUAAAACUAACAGGGAUGAUAAUCAUCGUUGCCUUGGAAACUUCAGUGUGGUGAACAUCGGCAAUCCCCUCCAGUCACAUCGUGUUUGUUUUUGUUUACUGUUCUAAUCUAGAGGGAUGGUCCAAAACACUCUGCUCAGGAGCUCGGAAGGCCAGAGUUACAGUAUUGGCAGUGCUGCUCUCCCUCCAAAGCCUCCGGAAGAGGGUACUUGACACCUUCUAGUUGCUGGGAAUCUUUGGUUCCAUCUUCACACGGCUGCUUUCCCUGUGUCUGUUCCUUGGAAGGACAUUUUAUUGGCUCUGAGUUCCAUCUUGAUCCAGCAUGAUCUUUUCUCAACUCUUUAUAAUCAUAUCUGCAAAGAUCCUAUUUCAAAUAGGUCACAUUCUGAGGGUUCAGAUAACCUAGAAAAUGUUGCAGAACUUCCGUGGAAGGCUUGUGGAGAAAUUACGAAGUAUCUUUUUGUUUCAGCGACAUAGUUUUCUUCAAAAAUGCCCAAUCUCACCUUCACUCAAGGGGCUAUGGGUUUAUAAGUCGGCUCAGAUAUGGGAACUGACUGAGGGAGCAUAUAUAAUCAACUCUAGGAAACCAACUACUAAAGAAAUGUAGCACACCCCUGAAAGACCCGGAAACUGUAUUUUUACAAAAGUCUAACAUUUUGCAGAAUUUUCUGGUA